rnacentral:rRNA from 1 species
GACGAACGCUGGCGGCGUGCUUAACACAUGCAAGUCGAACGGAAAGGCCCUGCUUGCAGGGUACUCGAGUGGCGAACGGGUGAGUAACACGUGGGUGAUCUGCCCUGCACUUCGGGAUAAGCCUGGGAAACUGGGUCUAAUACCGGAUAGGAGCCAUUUUUAGUGUGAUGGUUGGAAAGUUUUUUCGGUGUAGGAUGAGCUCGCGGCCUAUCAGCUUGUUGGUGGGGUAAUGGCCCACCAAGGCGGCGACGGGUAGCCGGCCUGAGAGGGUGGACGGCCACAUUGGGACUGAGAUACGGCCCAGACUCCUACGGGAGGCAGCGGUGGGGAAUAUUGCACAAUGGGCGCAAGCCUGAUGCAGCGACGCCGCGUGGGGGAUGACGGCCUUCGGGCUGUAAACUCCUUUCGCUAGGGACGAAGCUUUUUGUGACGGUACCUAGAUAAGAAGCACCGGCUAACUACGUG